rnacentral:rRNA from 1 species
AACGAACGCUGGCGGCAUGCCUAACACAUGCAAGUCGAACGAGACCUUCGGGUCUAGUGGCGCACGGGUGCGUAACGCGUGGGAACCUGCCCUUAGGUUCGGAAUAACUCCCCGAAAGGGGUGCUAAUACCGGAUAAUGUCUUCGGACCAAAGAUUUAUCGCCUUUGGAUGAGCCCGCGUUGGAUUAGCUAGUUGGUAGGGUAAAAGCCUACCAAGGCGACGAUCCAUAGCUGGUCUGAGAGGAUGAUCAGCCACACUGGGACUGAGACACGGCCCAGACUCCUACGGGAGGCAGCAGUGGGGAAUAUUGGACAAUGGGCGAAAGCCUGAUCCAGCAAUGCCGCGUGAGUGAUGAAGGCCUUAGGGUUGUAAAGCUCUUUUACCCGGGAUGAUAAUGACAGUACCGGGAGAAUAAGCUCCGGCUAACUCUGUG